rnacentral:rRNA from 1 species
AAACCUGAGAAACCCGAAAGUUCGAAUGAAAAGAUUCAAUAUUCUUCAAUUGGUUGUACAUUUACUUUGUGAUUAUGUGAUAGUUUUGUGUUAAUUUCUUUAUCCUUAACUGGAUUUUGAAUGUACAUAUUCUACACCACUUUGUUUAUGAACUAAAUACAACUAUGAAGGUAUGCACUUCUUUUCUAGUAGGACGUUGCGACCCAUUGAAUGUUAAUCUACGGCUACUCGUUAGAGCCUAUUCCUAUUUUACUUAAUUGUAUUUAUGGGAAAUAGAUUUCUGAGUGUGUCCCGAAUAACUGUUCGAUGGUAUUUAUAAAACCAUAAUAUUGGAUCGCCACUUUGUCUGGGCAUUUGGUAUUCAUUCAAGUAUGUAAGGUAAUUUGAAUGUCAGGGGCUCUUGUACUGGCUUUGAAUCCUAACUACUGUUCGAGUGAAAUUUACUAUCAAAUAGUAUCCUUUUAUUGGUCAGCAACGCUGUUGCUUUGGGUACUUUCAGGAC